rnacentral:misc_RNA from 1 species
UCUCCGUUGGUGAACCAGCGGAGGGAUCAUUACUGGAAUCGCAAGAACCCACAACCCCUGUGAACCUACCGAAACGUUGCCUCGGCGGGCGCCCGGCCCCGCGCCGGGCGUCGAGCCCGCCGGUGGCCCACUACUCUGUCUCUGCAGCGUGGCAUCUCCGAGUACAAGAAAAACAAGUCAAAACUUUCAACAACGGAUCUCUUGGCUCUA